GAAAUAUGAAGUUUUAUUAAAAGAAAAAGGGGUGAAAAGAACAAAGUUUUGUCCAUCUUUGUUCAUCAUAGCUGAAAGUUAGAGAAGAGAAAGGAGAGGAGAAAGCUCUUGAAUAUUUGGUCAUUAGGAGGAGGAAAAUUGAAGGCGGUUCAUGUGUGGAUCUCGUCAGCAUAUCGUCGCAAACAGGAAAUCCCCAACCAUAGUGGGCUUAGAGCUAUGAGGGAAUUCGGAGUGGCCACCCGUUCUGAAAGUUUGAUUUUCUUCUGGUGAACUGGACAUCCUUUUAAUUACGUUUGAGGUUUUGGGCUUUUAAAUGUAAUAAGGCCGCUUAUUUAUUUUUGAUGUUUUUACAUGUUUUAUUAAGAUAGAUAAUAUUUA